rnacentral:lncRNA from 1 species
GUAGGUUUUACGUAAGUGUCCUUCCUGACUCCGGAAGACAGUAGCAUGUAUAGUCUAGUAAUCGUGUAAGUACGAGAAAUCGUUCAAUUCCAUUAUUCAACCCAUUCCCAAUCCCCGGGAAUCCCAUGCCUUGGUAAAGAGUGUGAACUCACCUUGGUUUGCUCGGUAUGUUAUUGCUUCUAGUGUUAAUUUAUGAUUAGGUCCGUUACACACAACCUAGGGUACAUUGCACAUAAACUCGAUGUGAGUGUUUACGUUCAAUUAGGGUUUACAAGUCCUUGAUGUCCAAACAACUGUGAUUCGUGUGAAAGUGAUGUACAGAAUGAUAACACACAGUAAUAUACAGUUACAUUCAGCAAUAUACAGUAACAUGCAAAGUGUUCCUCAUACAGGAUUUUGACUUAGCACCAUAAGCAUCAUAAGUAAACUCAGACAAUUCAUCAACAAACGUCGGAUCAUUCAUAAAGCAUAAAGUUCAGACUAUGUAUCAAGCAUAAAACUCGGACUAGGUUAUCAAGCAUAAAAGUUGGACAAGAUCAUCAAGCACCAAUAAUUCGGACUAGAUCAUUCAAAAGUCGAACCUUGUGUCCUAGUUACAAAAGUCGGACACCCCCCCAUGUGCUUAAAGUUCAGACUUUACACCAUAUUCACAAAUUCGGACCAUAUGACAUAUACAAAAGUCGGACCAUAGGCAACAAUACAUGAAACUCGGACCAUGUUUAAGAUUAAGUUC